CAGCCGCCGCGGUAAAACGUAGGUGGCAAGCGUUGUCCGGAAUUAUUGGGCGUAAAGGGCUCGCAGGCGGUUUCUUAAGUCUGAUGUGAAAGCCCCCGGCUCAACCGGGGAGGGUCAUUGGAAACUGGGAAACUUGAGUGCAGAAGAGGAGAGUGGAAUUCCACGUGUAGCGGUGAAAUGCGUAGAGAUGUGGAGGAACACCAGUGGCGAAGGCGACUCUCUGGUCUGUAACUGACGCUGAGGAGCGAAAGCGUGGGGAGCGAACAGGAUUAGAUACCCGGGUAGUCCCUGUCUCUUAUAA
rnacentral:rRNA from 1 species